rnacentral:lncRNA from 1 species
AAAGAAGUGAAGGGGCAGGAUUGAGCAGAUGCAGAAAGUGACCCACAGUGUAUUAAUAGUUCCUGCUGAGGCCCCAGUUGAUCCUGUGGGGAGCACUGAAUCCUUCCAAACUCACACGAGAAGGCCGGGCCUUUAAAACCCCACAUCAGUUGCUGGGCUGAGCUGCUUUAUGUGGGUGGUGUCCUGCAACUGAGGACAGCUGCCUAUAGGGAUGGUGACCCUUGGCUGAGGAUGGAGUGACUGGCCCUACAGCAGGGACCUGGGUGGAACCACAGUAUCCACUCCAUUUCUGAGGGGCUCACAACCACUUGCUUUCUAGGUAAUUUCUCCCCAUCAGGGAAAAGCUUUGCCAGGAUUCUGGUCGGCCUAGUUUCCUGGAGGAAAUUUGUGUUUUCACCCACACAGUGUAGAUUCCACAGACUUAGAAGCUCUGGUUCCCAGGAACGGCAGCACUGACAUUUAUACUCUUGCUGCCACCUAGUCGUCCAGGAUCCUCCUGUCAUGAGGCCAGCAGGGAAAGAAAGGAGCCACGCUCCCGGCACUGGUGACGGAUCCCAUCUUCAGGGCGAGGCAGGGCAGCUGUUACCCAGGGCAGGAGGGAUGAAUGUGUCUGGCCCUUAGCUGAUCCACUGGGAUGCCUGUGGCACUGCCAUGCCUGGUGUCAAUGGCGUGUAGAGAAACAGCCACAGCCUGGAAAUGGCGCAGUGACCAGGGGCUCCAGAACUUCAGAAAUGAUGGUGUAGCUCACAUCCAUACAGGCAAACUGCCUGGACCAGAAGAAGUGUUGGCUAAGGGAAGCAGGAGUCUGGAAUGGGUGGUGAAGGAGAGAGAUGGUGAGUAUCAGUUUUAGUUCUGAGAUCAAACUCUGCAAUAGGGGCUGUAGUUCAUCCUACCAACCCUUCUCUCACAAAAUUUCCUUCCAAGAAAUCAGGUUUACCAGACACCUAGCUAAGCUUUUCCCUGAUGGGGAGAAAUCACCUAGAAAGCAAGUAGUUGUAAGCCCCUCAGAGCUGAGAUGUGGCAGAUACUGUGGUUCCACCCAGGUCCCCACUGUAGGCCAGUCACUCCAUCCAUAGCCAAGAGUCACCAUCCCCAUAGGCAGCUGUCCUCAGCUGCAGGGUACCACCAUGCACAAGGCAGCCCAGUCCAACGACUACUGGUUAUGAUCCAUCCUUGUGGGAGGACAUCCUAGUGACUUCCCUUUGUUGCCAUGAUGAAUGCAAAAUUCUUAUAGAAUUCCCUGGUCCCUUUAUUAUUCAGACACUCCUUAUCCUUGCAGGCUCAUUUCUCACCACUCUUCAAUUUCCACAGUUUCUCUUUGCACCUACCCUUUGACUAGAUAAUCUCAUCUUAGUUCUUAUGUCCUAGCCAAUACUCACUGUUGAGGCAGUGCUAUCAAACAUAGUGAAAUAAUGUAGUAUGUAGAUUAACAGAGUAUGUCCUGAAGCCAGACUUCCAUUAGUCUGUGCAUUAGCCAUGAGUCCUUGGACAAGUUACUAAAUGGGUACAAGUUUUUUGUUCAUAGUUUUUGGUAAGAAUUAAAUGAGGUAACAUAUAAAAUAUUUAGAUUAUAUGUGACACAUAAAACAUUGAAUAUGUUAACUAUUUAAAAAAUUUCCUAGGUUCUUUAAUUACUCCUGCCAAACAUCACAGAGAGCAUUGCAAUCACCUUUUCUCCCCAUUUAGAUACUUCUCC